rnacentral:rRNA from 1 species
CCUACGGGGGGCAGCAGUGGGGAAUAUUGGACAAUGGGGGGAACCCUGAUCCAGCCAUGCCGCGUGUGUGAAGAAGGCCCUCGGGUUGUAAAGCACUUUCAGUGAGGAAGAACGCCUGGUGGUUAAUACCCAGCAGGAAAGACAUCACUCACAGAAGAAGCACCGGCUAACUCCGUGCCAGCAGCCGCGGUAAUACGGAGGGUGCGAGCGUUAAUCGGAAUUACUGGGCGUAAAGCGCGCGUAGGUGGCUUGAUAAGCCGGUUGUGAAAGCCCCGGGCUCAACCUGGGAACGGCAUCCGGAACUGUCAAGCUAGAGUGCAGGAGAGGAAGGUAGAAUUCCCGGUGUAGCGGUGAAAUGCGUAGAGAUCGGGAGGAAUACCAGUGGCGAAGGCGGCUUUCUGGACCGACACUGACACUGAGGUGCGAAAGCGUGGGUAGCAAACAGGAUUAGAUACCCUUGUAGUC